rnacentral:rRNA from 1 species
UACGUAGGGUGCAAGCGUUAAUCGGAAUUACUGGGCGUAAAGCGUGCGCAGGCGGUGAUGUAAGACAGUUGUGAAAUCCCCGGGCUCAACCUGGGAACUGCAUCUGUGACUGCAUCGCUGGAGCGCGGCAGAGGGGGAUGGAAUUCCGCGUGUAGCAGUGAAAUGCGUAGAUAUGCGGAGGAACACCGAUGGCGAAGGCAAUCCCCUGGGCCUGCACUGACGCUCAUGCACGAAAGCGUGGGGAGCAAACAGG